GUUUCUGCGAACGAGGCUGUUUAGGGCGCUGCCAUUUUCCAAAUUCAUCCAUCUACACCAUCACAAACUCUCGAUUUUACCCGAGGAGGCUGCUUCCUUUAACUUUAGUCCGACUCUGAAGUUUUCGGAAUAAACCGUGUUGCAACCUGUAUCUAAGUCUCAAUUUUCUGUCCAUAAAUAAAAGGAUAAUGUCCAUACCCACUGUCAACCCUGAGGAAGUCAUGGCGAAGCUCGUCAAAGAACGAAAUUUUCUCCAUCCUAAUGUUAAUAUCCACAGAGAGAGGACGUCAAAGACAAUAGCAGAAAUGAUCAACUUUUGCGCCAAGAAAAUGGAAGUGGACGGGUUCAUUAUGGGCAUUAAUGAGAAAGAUAAUCCAUUCAAGUCCAAGAAAGGUUGUGACAUUCUGUGAUUGUGAUUGUGAACAUGCUGAAGAAAAAUUAAGUGCAGAGUCAUUCCAAAACAUCAUUCUUCUUUGAUCAAUCAUGUUGAUGGUCUCCAUACUGGUAAAAAUUGAACUGAAAUGGACUUGCAAACAAAAUCCCUCAAAUUAUCUGUCAGUUAUAAACAAGAUGCUCUGACUGACUGAUUUAGAUGAAGGAGUUUGUUAGGCCAACGUUAGAGAGAGAUUCAUUCAUGGUGUGUGUAGUUUUACUUGUACCGUAGUGUUUAGGGGUCCAAUCUUAGUCUGUUUUGCUGUGAUGUGUGUGGCUUUUGAAAAUACUUAGAUUGCAGUGUGAAAACUAUUGUUUCUAUACUCGUUGAAACUUUAGCCUGUUCUGAGGAUUCUGUUCUAAUUUAAACUUGUAAUAGUCAAUGUUGUUUUCAGUUUAGAAUAUCAAAACAGUUUCUUCCAGUUUUUGACCAAAACCACAUUCUGCAUGACCAUGUUCUUAAAAUUGUUAAUUUUCACAACAACAGAAAAUGCCUUAUUCGAAUACUGCUGAGAUGUGCCGUAAGCUGGAAGAUAACAACGUGAUGCUACGAGAGAGUGUUGCGAUCAAGCGGGAACCUGUCUCACAAUCUGUGCGGGAUAUGAUCAAGUACUGCGCCCAGCAUAUUGAAAGUGACCCGCUCAUCUACCCCGUGAAAGAGAAUCCAUUCCGUGUCAAGAGCAAGUGCAGCCUCCUAUGAUCUGUGUCUCAUUCCAAGCUUUAUCUUUCAACAUCAUGGUUUAUCCCGAAAGAGACACAGUUCAGAUAUUUUCAGCUGGAAAUUUACACCAAUUGGAGACAUUGUAUGAUAGUCAGUGUGACUGUGAAAAAUUUUUUAUUUUAAGAACUAGUCACUAUAGAAUUUCUAAAACUCAAAUUAAAAAAAAACCCUAUAAAUAAUGAUAAAAAAUGACAACAGCUUUUACAUUCGUUUUUCACUGAGAAUUUCACCUGCUGUCACAAUCCAUGCGUAUUGCUCAAUUGGACUUAGAAUCAAUUUCACCUUCUUGUAUUUUGUGGCCUUUUGUAUACUAGAUGUAUAUGAAUUCCCAUGGAUACUUGAACAUGAAGGGUUGACCUGUUUCAUGGAUUAGCAUUUAGAUUUGGCAGAAUUUUCCAUUGUAUUUUCAAGUUUACAAUUUGUAUGAUGGUCUUGAAACGGACUUGUGUAGGAAGCUUGCUCUGCUGUCCAGUGAGAUUUAAUUUGGAAGUGUACCAUUUGCACUUCGUUAUCAAUUGGAUUUCAAGUGGUUUUAGAUUGUGUCACAUACGGAUUAUUGAUGCUGAGACUGUAGAUAAUAUAUUGUGUGCCUUAUAUUUAUCAUCAAGAGUCAUCUGAUAUCUCUUAAAACAUGAGUCUUCCAACCUGUGUGUACAGUGCUAGUGCUUGUCCAUUUGAACUGCUGAAAGAAGGAAGUCCAUUCUUAUUUCCACAAACGAUUAAAUGCCCCUUGUUUCCCAAGAAGUUAUGUGAGGUGUUUCAACAGCCUCUUGAACAUGCUGAAGUCAAGCAUGUCAAAUCAGAAGAUAUUGCGGUAGGAUACACCUGAGUCUAUCUAUAUUGUAUCAUGUUUUAUUCAAAUUAGGUUUUUCCUGUGCCAUUUCAAAGUUGAUGAGCCACAUCAUAUUAUGUGAGAUUCCAUUUCUUAUAAUUUGGUGUUUGGAUUUUCUACCAAAAACGAAGUUUAAGAGAAAGACUUUGUGUGCAAGUGUAUGUUGAGUCAUUGAACUUGUGUUUUCAAGCUGUUCUGUAGGAACAGUAAUUAUUGUGUUGGUUCAAAUUUUGUUACAUGCAGAUCAGAAGUAAACUUCCAACUUUGAGGUGGUACAACAUUAUUCAAGUAUAAUCACUUUAGUUUGCAAGGAUUUUGAUUAGCCACAUUCAGUCUGGUGACAUUUCUGGUACUCGCACGGUCUGCUUUAGAAUUUGAACAGAAUGCAAUUUUCAAGUUUCGUAUCAUUUUCAUAGCCAUCUGACAUAGAAUCCUUGCAAAUCAGUGAUUGUACAGACUUUUAGAUGAUUUAUUUAUUCAUUUAUAUCUCGCAACUAUUAUGUAUUCAUCCAGAGUCCUUCAUUAAAACGCCAUCAUGGUUUA